AAUAGUUCUGUGGAAGGCCUGCCUCAGAAGGAGCUGGAAGAGUAAGCCAAGGCUCUAAGCCCCAUGAAAUUAUGUGUCCAGCCUUUGAGACCGUUGCUUUAGAAGCUAGCUCUGCAACUUUUGUUGGUUUCUUGAUUGGUAACUGAGGUGGGGCUGGGCGAAUGACAUUAGUGGAGCAUCAGCAUAGUUAAACUCUUAAAGCAUUCCAAUUACAUCACCUUAGAUGCUACACGAGGUCACUGAAAAGGUACCAAACCUGAAGCAAAAGGCACUCAGCAGGGACGGUUAUUGCAAACAGUGUAAACUAUAAUAAUUUCAAAUAGCUAACAAAUGGGCAGAGAUGUUCAUAUGAAUUAGCUGUAGUCUUUCUCUAAGGGUCAUUUUUCAAGAGGUCACACAAUGUGAACCAAUUUUUAAAGAUCAAGCUCAACAAAACUUAGUGCUUGCAUCAUCCUCUUUCUUCCUAAAGUAGUACUUGAGAAAUUAAUUUCUCAUUUAAAAGAUGUGCUGCAUUUUGCAUCUUAAGUAACAAACUCACUUUCCUAUAUAACACUAAUUGAGUUUUGUGGUUGUGGUUGUAGAUUAUAGCAACAAUUCUAUGCAUAUUUACUAGCGAGUAAGUCCAACUUGCUUCUAGGUUAACAUGCAAGGAUCAAGUUGUAAUCCACCAAACUGUUCGUUUGAUCUGCACAAUAUGAAAAAGCCCCUUCCUAUAAUUUAAGCAUCUCAUAUAAUAGAAGAGUAUUAUGGCAUAGGCAAAAAUACAGUUUACUGUACAAUACAGCAAAAAUAAUUUGUUUGAAAAUACAGCCUCCAUGUGAAACACCAUUAUACAUAGUUUCAUAGUUUCUGUAAAACUAGUUAGUUAAAAUAUUUAAACAGUUCAUAUUACCAUUAUUUUAAAUUUAAUUUGAAUCUAUGCAACA